ensembl:lincRNA E130102H24Rik RIKEN cDNA E130102H24 gene
AUGGCAAAGCUAGAAUAAAAACAGAAAAAUGGCGACGGUCACGUUGUGGCGAGCCUUGCUGCGUCAUUAGAUAAUCCUCAUGCAAAUAGCGGGAUGAACAAAGAAAGGGGGGCUCGGGACCCCCGAGGGCGCAGGUGGAGCCGGGAUGUUGUUUACAUGACGGAUCCGGCGGGAGGAGUCUGCGAGGAGGAGGCGGAGAGAGGAAGAGCGGAGUCCCCGCGGCGGCGGUGGCGGGCCGGGGUGCGGGCGAGCGCCGCGCGGUCCCCGAAGCCUGGACACGGGAGCCUAGGGUAGGCAGGCGGGGGCGCGGGCUGCGGGAAGGCUGUCAG